rnacentral:lncRNA from 1 species
AAAAAGAAGACCAAGGCUGAGGCUGAUGGUGAUGCGAUGGAUGUGGACAAGCCCUCCCACGUUGCUGAUGGAGAAGCCGAACCUGGAACUGAGAAGAAGAAGAAGAAAAAGAAGCAUAAGCUAGAGGAGGCACAGGAGGAGAACGGCGCAGCACAUGCUAAUGGUGGCGCUGAAGAGACCGAGACCCCCAAGAAGAAGAAAAAGAAGAGCCGUGAAGUUUCUGAAGAAGCUGAACCUAAGACGGCCACUGAGGGGAAGAAGAAGAAAAAGAAGGCCAAGGCUGAGGAUGACGA